rnacentral:rRNA from 1 species
CUUUAGUGGCGGACGGGUGAGUAACGCGUGGGUAACCUGCCUUAUACAGGGGGAUAACACUUAGAAAUAGGUGCUAAUACCGCAUAAGCGCACGGGGCUGCAUGGCCCAGUGUGAAAAACUCCGGUGGUAUAAGAUGGACCCGCGUCUGAUUAGCUUGUUGGCGGGGUAACGGCCCACCAAGGCGACGAUCAGUAGCCGGCCUGAGAGGGUGGACGGCCACAUUGGGACUGAGACACGGCCCAAACUCCUACGGAAGGCAGCAG